rnacentral:rRNA from 1 species
AUUGAACGCUGGCGGCAGGCCUAACACAUGCAAGUCGAGCGGAUGAAGGGAGCUUGCUCCUGGAUUCAGCGGCGGACGGGUGAGUAAUGCCCAGGAAUCUGCCUGGUAGUGGGGGAUAACGUCCGGAAACGGGCGCUAAUACCGCAUACGUCCUGAGGGAGAAAGUGGGGGAUCUUCGGACCUCACGCUAUCAGAUGAGCCUAGGUCGGAUUAGCUAGUUGGUGGGGUAAAGGCCUACCAAGGCGACGAUCCGUAACUGGUCUGAGAGGAUGAUCAGUCACACUGGAACUGAGACACGGUCCAGACUCCUACGGGAGGCAGCAGUGGGGAAUAUUGGACAAUGGGCGAAAGCCUGAUCCAGCCAUACCGCGUGUGUGAAGAAGGUCUUCGGAUUGUAAAGCACUUUAAGUUGGGAGGAAGGGCAGUAAGUUAAUACCUUGCUGUUUUGACGUUACCAACAGAAUAAGCACCGGCUAACUUCGUG